CUCUUCAGAUCCAUAAAACUGGGUGGAGCCAACAUGUGGUGAUAAAAGAGAGCUGACUGGCUCAGACUAGUUCCACUUCUCUGAAAGCAGAAACUCACUCAGUCGAUGCUGCUUUGAAGAGAAAAUGGCUCAUAAAGGAAAUAAACUUUAUUCAGAAAAGUUCUUUUGUUCCAUCUGUCUGGAUCUCCUGAAGGAUCCGGUGGCUCUCUCCUGUGGACACAGCUACUGUAUGAAGUGUAUUGAAACCCACUGGGAUGGAGAGGACCUGAAGACAACCUACAGCUGUCCUCAGUGCAGGAAGACCUUCACACCAAGGCCUGUCCUGGAGAAGAACGUCCUGUUAGCAGAGUUAGUGGAGGAGCUGAAGAAGACUGGACUCCAAGCUGCUGCUGCUGAUCACUGCUAUGCUGGAGCUGAAGAUGUGGCCUGUGAUGUCUGCACUGGGAGGAAGAUGAAAGCCUUCAAGUCCUGUCUGGUCUGUCUGGUCUCCUACUGUGAGAAACACCUUCAGCCUCACUAUGAGUCUCCAGCCUUUAAGAAACACCAGCUGGUGGAGCCCUCCAAGAACCUCCAGGAGAACGUCUGCUCUCAUCAUGAUGAGGUGAUGAAGAUGUUCUGUCGCACUGAUCAGCAGUCUAUCUGUUAUCUCUGUUCUAUGGAGGAACAUAAAGACCAUGAAACAGUCAAGGCUGCAGCAGAAAGGACUGAGAGGCAGAAGACGCUGGAGGUGAGUCGACUGAACAUCCAGCAGAGAAUCCAGGACAGACAGAAAGACGUGAAGCUGCUUCAACAGGAGCUGAAGGACAUCAGAGUCUCUGCUGAGAAAACAGUGGAGGACAGUCAGGAGAUGUUCAGCAAGCUGAUCCAUCUCAUCCAGAAAAGAGGCCGAGAUGUGGAGCAGCAGAUCAGAUCCCAGCAGGAGACCAAAGAGAGUCGAGUCAAAGAGCUUCAGGAGAAGCUGGAGCAGGAGAUCAGGGAUCUGGAGAGGAAAGACGCUGAGCUGAAGCAGUUCUCAGAUACAUCAGACCACAACCAGUUCCUCCACAAAUACCCCUCAGUGUCAGCACUCAGUGAGUCCACACACUCAUCCAGCAUCAGCAUCCGUCCUCUGAGAUACUUUGAGGACGUGACAGCAGCUGUGAAAGAGCUCAAUGAUAAAAUACAGGACAGUCUGAAGAACACCUGGACAAACAUCUCAGGGACAGGGACUCAACCAGAUGUUCUUCUCCCAGAACCAGAACCAGAACCAAAGACCAGAGCUGAAUUCUUAAAAUAUUCACGAGACAUCACUCUGGAUCUAAACACAGCUCACAGAAAGCUGUCACUAUUUGAAGGGAACCGAAAAGUAAAGGUAAUCACAUGCCACCACUUUUAUCCUGAUCAUCCAGACAGAUUCACUGACUGGUUUCAGAUCCUGAGCAGAGAGAGUCUGACUGGACGAUGCUACUGGGAGGUGGAGUGGAGAGGAGAUCGACUUUAUGUCGCAGUUUCAUACAAGAACAUCAGCAGAACCGGGAGCACAUCUGAAAGUGCUUUUGGAUUAAAUGACAAGUCCUGGGCUUUAUAUUGUGACACCUACAGUUAUAAAUUUUGGUACAACACUCAAACUCCCAUCUCUGGUCCUCGGUCCUCCAGAAUCGGAGUUUACCUGGAUCACACUGCAGGUAUUCUGUCCUUCUACAGCGUCUCUGAGAAAAUGACUCUCCUCCACAGAGUCCAGACCACAUUCACUGAGCCGCUACAUGCUGGAGUUCGACUUUAUUAUGCUGGAAACACUGCAAAGUUCAUUAAACUCACAUAGCAGUGUUUCUUUUACAUUAAUUCAGGAGUGGGUUUUUUUUAAAAUGUUUUUUUGUUAUUGUUGCUAAUACACCACCGCCACAUGUCUCCACCUUCACAGCAGACUUCUGCACUGUCAGGUCCUCGAGAGUACUGAGGUAAACUUCAGAUAACUAUCUUGCUCAGUAUCUACUCUUUGAUACGUCAGGUUAAUACGACGUUAAUUACUAGCGAGAGCGCGGCCUUGAAAGUGAUGUCAUGUCAAGCACCCAGGCACCAGGUCAGAGAGUCACUGGAGGGUCGUCUUGGAAAAUAGAGCAGUGACUUAUCAUAGAAAAACUAUAAACUUAAAAUAACUUAUUAUAUAUUUUACAAGUUAAAUAGACAUUUGCAAAAUAUUGAUGGCCAGUGAACAUUACGUAACAUAUCAGUAGCUUCAUUUAAUUGAGUCCGGUGCUAACUCGGUAUUGCUAACGUGAGUAAACUAUUGAUAGCAUUAAGCUAGCAAUAGUUUACUGAUGAUGUAACUCCUGACUGUGUUUUCAGAUGAGCCUGUUCAAAUUAUUUUAUCUAUUUUAUUUUAUUUAUUUCUACAUUUAGCCAUUAAAAAGCUAUUUGCAAUUGGCUAUUUAAUAACUCAAUUGUAAAAGUAAAAUCUGCAGUCAAGUGUCAUUUGUUAACGCUGCCAUGGCUCCCCAGAGAGCCUGCUGCCGCUACUGAAAAAAAUCCUAAAGGAAACACUGCAUAGUGUCAGAAACUUGCAUGUUAACACACUAAAGAUACUAAAUUUCAAUAUUAAUGCAUGUAUAUGUCAAAAACCUGAAUAUUAAAGUACUAAAGAGUCAAAAACCUGGAUAUUAAUGUACUAAAGAGUCAAAAACCUGGAAAUUAAUGUACUAAAUAGUCAAAAAUCUGGAUUUUAAUGUACUAAAGAGUCAAAAACUUGGAUUUUAAUGUACUAGAGAGACAAAAACCUGGAUAUUAAUGCAAUAAAGAGUCAAAAAUCUGGAAAUUAAUGUACUAAAGAGUCAAAAACCUGGAUAUUAAUGUACUAAAAUGUCAAAAACCUGGAUAUUAAUGUACUGAAGUGUUUUGUAGUUGUUACUGGUUAAAAUUUCUGGCAUGUCUGUGAACACAUCUGUGACAAGUAGCCAUUGGUUGUAGAAGUGUUUUUUCCACAAUCAGUGUUAUUAAACUUAUCUAUUCUGUUGACAUGUUCAGCUUCAGGAAUUACCUCUAACGUUUCGUGCCACUUUGUAAUCUUCUACAUCACAAAAUACCUGGUUUAGAUUCUUGCUAUGAGCACCUGUGAGGCUGAAAAACACAUGAAAUGUUUUAAGUUUGUGUUCACCACUUCAAUACUUUCCGAUCUAUUUCAUAUUGAGGUUAAGAAAGCAUGCUAAAGGCUGAUUUGUGCAGAGGUUAUUACGGUGUUUACACGGUGGAGUCUCGAUAGCAGGAAGUACUAAACAGAAAGGUUGUAAAUAUUAGAAAUAACUCAACUAUAGCACCCCACAGAUCUCUGCUUUGUAAGCCAGUAUUGAGUUUCCAGGCCUUGAACGCACCGUGACUGUGGCAGGCCCUUCUUCCCCAGGUCCAUUCGCACUCGUUCUCCAACAUGGCGGUAGAUCUCCACCAGGCAGCUCAUGGCUCCAUCACGCACCUGCAAGACAACGACAAAAACUGAGCAUCAGCACAAACCAUGGCGAUACAAUGGACACGCUUCCAUCAAGUAGGAAUCUUUUAAGGAAUUAAGAGUCACUUGAAGUUCUCUCAGUAAUCAUUUUUUUUCAUUAUAUCAAGACUAUCGCACGACUCUCACAUUUCACUGCAUAUUUUUACUCAAGUAUAUUGCUGCAUACGAUAGUUUACGGUUUACUUUAGUAAUGUUUUACUCAUGAAUACAUUAAUUUCCAAGUUUUAGAGACUCUACUACUUUAAUAUCCAGGUUUUUGCCUCUUUAGUACAUUAAUAUCCAGGUUUUUGCCUCUUUAGUACAUUAAUACUUUACGGUUUACUUUUGUACUUUUUCACUCAUGGUACAUUUCGUACUUGAGUAUAUUUUUCUAAUUUAUUUGUAUUGUGCUGGUGAUCUCUUUACUCUUUCUGCUGCUACUGUAAUGACAGAAUUUCCCCUUGAGGAUCAAUAAAGUCUUUCUAUUCUA